AGGGACUAUUUCAUAUUGGGAUAGCAAUAAUACAUUAAGGAACAAUUCCACUAAAACAGAAUAUUAAACAAAUAACAAUAAAAAAAUGAAAGAGAAACUACCUAAUCUGAUUUUUCUUUUUCUCUUUUUCUUUUUUUUUCUUUCCACACACAGCCGUGAAUCUCCAAGGGGAGAGAGUCGUCGGGCCGGCAAGAGGAACUCCGGCGAGGGUGAAUCGGCGGUGGGCAAGCGCGCAGAGGUGAAUUGGCGGCGGCAA
rnacentral:lncRNA from 1 species